rnacentral:rRNA from 1 species
CUCUGCGAGAAGUCCAUUGAACCUUAUCAUUUAGAGGAAGGAGAAGUCGUAACAAGGUUUCCGUAGGUGAACCUGCGGAAGGAUCAUUGUCGAGACCGAUCGAGCGAUUAGGAGAACCCGUGAAAUAAGUGGCGGCAGUUGCCGUCGCGGAACAUCCGUCACGGUCGUUGCCUCGUCUCCUUUGGUGGGGGCCGCGCGACGACGGGCGAAAAAAAAUUCAAACCGACGCAAUUUCGCGUCAAGGGAAUGUUGAAAAACACGAGCCCGGGAUCGGGCUUAGUGGCGUGGAGUGCUGAUGCACACCAUAUGGAUUGACACGACUCUCGGCAAUGGAUAUCUCGGCUCUCGCAUCGAUGAAGAGCGCAGCGAAAUGCGAUACGUGGUGCGAAUUGCAGAAUCCCGCGAACCAUCGAGUCUUUGAACGCAAGUUGCGCCCGAGGCCAACCGGCCAAGGGCACGUCUGCCUGGGCGUCAAGCGUUGCGUCGCUCCCUGCCACAACCCCAUGCCGCGAAUGGGCGUGUCGGGUGAGGCUCGGACGUGCAGAGUGGCUCGUCGUGCCCAUCGGUGCGGCGGGCUGAAGAGCGGGUCAUCGUCUCAUUGGCCACGAACAACAACGGGUGGAUAAAAGCUGCGAGCAGGGCCUGUGUUGUCUCUCGUGCUGCCCCGAGAAAAGAUUUUCAAUACCUUCGAGUUGAUCCCAGCCCAUGCGUCGAUCCACAUGCGACGGCUUGGAAUGCGACCCCAGGAUGGGCGAGGCCACCCGCCGAGUUUAAGCAUAUCAA